UGAUAUGGGAAAUGAAGUACCUCUGACUCCUUGAAAUAAAUUACAACCCUAGAGACUUUAGAAGACUGUCUAGGUUCCAGUUUUGUUAACCAGAAAAUAAGAAUGGCUUUGCCCACUAAUCAACAUCUCUUGACAAGGAGAACUGCUAGCUGAAAAUAUGAGAAGCCAGCACAUCCUGAAAGAAAUACCCUAGAUCCGCUUAACUGGAAACGAAGCAGCUGGAACCGUAAACAGUGAUGCCACUCUGUGCUGAUACACCUGACCCUCCACCAAUGAACUGGCCCAUCUGGGGAAAUGGAAAAUGGGAGAGUAGG